rnacentral:misc_RNA from 1 species
UAUUUUCUCCUAAUGAAUUCAGAUCGCUCAUCUAUAGAGGCAUCUGGCGUUGGUUUUCUGUAUUCAUCUGGAAUGCAAGCUUCAUACUUCUUGUUUGCUAUAGUAUUGCCACCCAAAUCAAUGAAAUCAUUCACUUGUUCAUCUGUCCAUUCAUCUAGUUUGAUUGAUAGAACCUUUGAUAUAUGUACUCCAAGGCUUCUAUGAACACCAGAACACUUGAUACAAAUAAAUACUCCAUGACUUAAGGACACCCAUUUCGGAUCUGGUGAUCCACAAUCUGCACAAAUCUUAUUUCCUGAUUGACUCAGCAGUUUCUCCAGUUUUCGUUGUGGACCAGAAAUUU